rnacentral:misc_RNA from 1 species
AUCCGAUCCCAUCCCACGCAAGCACUCACGUGAAGGGAAGGAGAAGCGCCACGCGCCACACACUUCUUGUUCUCGUAGCAUUUUUCUUCCUUCCUUUGGUCUCUGUUUUCUUCGUAAUCCUGGCUAGCGUCCCUGGUGAUGCCAGACACCUCCGUGCGUGGCGUCUCACGGUCCCGUACCUCCCCCUCCCCCACUCUGUGGCGAAAGUCAGGCAGCCCCCCACCCCUACCCCUGCCAGUGCCGAGCCGCUUCCGGUGGUGACAGGGUCAGGUGCCUACCCCACAGGGGAGGCCAGCGCGACUCCUGUCCGCAGCCAGGCCCUGGACGGCGUGUUGCUGGAGCGGCCGGCGACUGUGAAGGCGCUUGUGCCGUCCGCGCGAUGGGCCGAGCGUCAGCGCGGCUCGCGCGCACGCCACCCGGUGCUCGCUGCCUGCUGGCGGGGAGCCUUUAUGCGACCCCGAGGGGGUGCACCCGGUGGCGGCGGGCGGGUGGGUGGAUGGGGGGGCACAAUGGGCGCGGCUGCGAGGCGGCCUGCGGGGCGCGGGUGGUGUGCCGACGUUGAGGCGGAGGCCGCGCCCCGGCGACUGUGGCGGCGCAUUGCUGGGAGGCGUGUGUGUCCCGCUGCUUCGCGCCGCGCGAUGACGGUCCUGUGCGGCCGGGCCGGGGGCCAGAGUGGUGGUGGGGGUGGCUGGGCUCAUGCUCCAUGGCGGCGAAUGGCCGCGCUGAGAAGCGAAUGCGGUGCUCACAUCGAAGCGUUUUUGUUUUCCUGCUCUUGUUGCGUUGCCUGUCUUCCUGUUUACUUGCAUGUCGGUGCGGCUAAUAUGUUGUCCUCCCCCUUUCUGUGCACACGCGGAUAUCUGUGUGCCUGUGUAUGACCGUGACCCUCAUGGCUUCCUCCCCCCAUCUCUUGUUCUCCCGUCGCACCUCUCUUUGCCUCUGUUUUGUCCGCAUUUCUUUCCGCUCCUCCCCACCCCCGCUCAUGAGGUCAGCUGCCGGCGCCCCCCACGCCUCGCUCGCCGCCUACCUGCUCUCCGUCGUUUGCUUGAAUUGUUUGUGCAUCCUUCGCAUGCUGCUAUGCAUACAUACAUUUGUCUCUCCCCGUCUCUGCGCGCCCCUACCCUUCCUUCGUCCUUCGCCUCUCUCCCUGUAGCUCUCCCCUGUCUCUGCCGCUGCCGCCGACCUCCCCCUCUGUUGAUCCCCCCUCCCUCCCUCGUGCGUGCAUCUUCCUUUCCGCUUGCUGUUGUGGGGGUGUCGCGUUUUGUGUGCGCCUCUUUGUCCGUCGCUCUCCUUGCCGAGCUCUGUGCGCCCUCCUCAUCCUGUUAUCCUUGCCGUCUUCUGCAGAGGGCUCAUGCGGGAGCCCGCAACUGGUGCGAGUGGGCAUGGCUACACGGCGCUUGCUGAGUGCGCUGCGUGGGUGGGUGAGAGCUGCGUUGGCGGCCGGGCGAGUGGAAGACUACAGCCAUCGCCUUUUCAUUUUUUGUUUUCUUCGUAAUCCUGGAUAGCGUCCCUGGUGAUGCCAGACACCUCCGUGCGUGGCGUCUCACGGUCCCGUACCUCCCCCUCCCCCACUCUGUGGCGAAAGUCAGGCAGCCCCCCACCCCUACCCCUGCCAGUGCCGAGCCGCUUCCGGUGGUGACAGGGUCAGGUGCCUACCCCACAGGGGAGGCCAGCGCGACUCCUGUCCGCAGCCAGGCCCUGGACGGCGUGCUGCUGGAGCGGCCGGCGACUGUGAAGGCGCUUGUGCCGUCCGCGCGAUGGGCCGAGCGUCAGCGCGGCUCGCGCGCACGCCACCCGGUGCUCGCUGCCUGCUGGCGGGGAG